rnacentral:rRNA from 1 species
UACGUAGGUGGCGAGCGUUGUCCGGAUUUACUGGGCGUAAAGAGCGCGCAGGCGGUCGUUCAAGUCGCGUGUGAAAGCCCCCGGCUCAACUGGGGAGGGUCACGCGAUACUGAUCGACUCGAAGGCAGGAGAGGGAAGUGGAAUUCCCGGUGUAGUGGUGAAAUGCGUAGAUAUCGGGAGGAACACCAGUGGCGAAGGCGACUUCCUGGCCUGUUCUUGACGCUGACGGCUGCGAAAGCUAGGGAG